rnacentral:lncRNA from 1 species
AUUGCUUUUUCAUGCAUCAUUGUUAGCAUGUUGACUCCUCUUCUAGACCGCCAGUUCCUUGAGAAGAGAGAUUGUUUCUGACCAUCCUUCCUGGCCUCAGCAGAAACAUUUAUUGUGAUCAUAAUGGAAAGCCAACCAAACAGACCCAUCUAUGAACUGGCAUAGGUUGAUCUCCCUGCAGGCUGUGGAGUAUUUGCAAGGUGAAAGAGAAUGCAGAUGGCCAGGCCUUGUGCAUUUUAAAAGUUCAGAAGCUCUAGCCACUUACAGGAAAUCUGGGGCCUGGGGUCCAGGCUGGGCUAUGCUUAAAAGCAAAAAGAGAGAGAGAGAGAGAGAGAGAGAGAGAGAGAGAGAGAGAGAGAGAGAGAGAGAGAGAGAGAGAGAGAGAGAGAGAGUCUUCCAUUGUUCAGUGAGAGAUUUGUAAAUAAAUUUUGUGGAUCAAAU